rnacentral:rRNA from 1 species
CUUCAGGAAACUGGGGCUAAUACCGGAUAGGAGCUCCUGCUGCAUGGUGGGGGUUGGAAAGUUUCGGCGGUUGGGGAUGGACUCGCGGCUUAUCAGCUUGUUGGUGGGGUAGUGGCUUACCAAGGCUUUGACGGGUAGCCGGCCUGAGAGGGUGACCGGCCACAUUGGGACCGAGAUACGGCCCAG